rnacentral:rRNA from 1 species
UCCACCGAAAGAAAAGAGUGGCGAACGGGUGAGUAACACGUGGAUAACCUACCCUCAAGCGGGGGAUAACACUUGGAAACAGGUGCUAAUACCGCAUAACAAUAGCAACCGCAUGGUUGCUACUUAAAAGAUGGUUCUGCUAUCACUAAGAGAUGGUCCCGCGGUGCAUUAGUUUAGUUGGUGAGGUAAUGGCUCACCAAGACGAUGAUGCAUAGCCCGAGUUGAGAGACUGAUCGGCCACAAUGGGACUGAGACACGGCCCAUACUCC